AAUAAAAAAAUAAAAAAAAUUAUAUAUACACCACAGAGAAAAACAUUCAGGCAGAGAUGUGUACAUGCAUUUUAUAGAAAAUAAUCACAAGUUCUGUACAAGCUCCCUGCUACCUUUCUACAUGGAUGCCAGCACCACCCAAGUGCAAGGAAAACUAUUUGGAAAGUUAAUGUGAAGAAACCUUGAGUAUUCUACAAAGAAUCUUUAAGGCUGGCAAAGGUCCUUAUCAGCUGUACAUCCACACCUCAGCUUUCUACUGAGAAACUCUGAAGUGAGGGGGGAAAGAGAAAGGAAAAAAAGCUUUAGAACAUUCAGUACUGGUCAGAGAAGAAUUCCUUUGGCUGAUGCAUUCCUGCAGCCACUGAAGUAACAGAAGAUAACAAGUGGAGCAGGUAACUCCCUUAAAAUCCACACUGCCUCACCCAACCCACUCUGACUGAACAGUCAGGAUUCAACUGCAACAAUUCCAGAAAUUUGUGAUGACAGCAAGCCAUGAGUGAGUCUCCACUAUUCCCCAUCCCACCCAGUAAAUAAAACUCCUGUGUCCAUGAUCCUGCUGGACAUUUUCAGCCCAACACCCCCUUCCACAGAAGCCCAGACCCCCAGGACUGGGAGGGUUCAGCUCCCAAUCACCACCAGAACUGCCCAGAGCAAACGCCAGGAUCAACACUUCCAUCCUCUGCUCCAUUGUGAGCUCUGCCAAAGCAGAGCAGAAAACUGCUCAGGCAGAGACUAUUCCUGUCUUUCCUUCCCUACAACUCCCACUGGCCUCUAUUAACAGGCUCUUACUCAUUCCUUGACCCUCACACAUGAAGGAGUUGGAGCUGAGAUCCCAGUUACCAUCUGGAGGUAAAAUAAAAAAAAGGGAAUAGUCAAAUAUAUCCAAUGGGCUGCAUACAUUUAUUUACAUAACUCUGUUGUUUGAUUCACACACACACCAGCAGCUAAGAAAAAAACUUCCCCUAUGUUCUGAUGUCCUCAAAAGAAUGGGGAAGUUAAACUCCAAAUAUUCCAGCUGGGAAGGGAGGGUGAGAUUACAGCAGGAAGAAUUCCUUAAAUUGCAGCACUGUUAACCUCAGCACCUACACUUGUCCCAGUAGCAUUAAUUUCACAUUAAACCUCUUUUUACCAACACAACAAAAAUCCUGUGCUUCCCUCAGACACCCCCACAGUGCACAGGGAGGAUUUUCCAGCUCUUGGUAGUGGAAUUAAGAAGGAUUUUGGUAUCAGUAAAGUUAUUCUGGAAAAGAAAGCAAACAAACAUUAAGCCAAUCCAGACAAUCCUUUGGAUAGCACCUAAAGUGGCAGCACAAACAGGGAAAUAAAAUGCACUGAAAUGGGCUUUGCUGAAGACACACAAGUAGCUAAAUUACUUCUGCAUGUUCCAGCUGGAAUAAUAAACUCCUGGAAGUAGAAAGGAGAAAUGCUGUGACAAAAGGAUGAUAUUUACAGAACUGUAUCCUUUGAAGGGUGGCCUGAGAGGGUUCAGCACAAGGCUGCUGGCUUGCUCUGUACACAAAAGCAACAUUCACCCCUCUAAAAGCCAGAAAACCCCAGGAUUGUCCAAGUUCAAAACCAAGCCUAAGAGCAAUAAACACUGAAAAGCUUAGGCUGUGCUCUAGGAAUAUGAAAGUACUUUACUGGGUUUAUUACUGUUUGUAGAAUUUAGAAAUCUUAAUCUGGAGCACAAUGAAAACACAAACUCAUCACUAUUUUGGAUUAACAACACAUUGCAAAUAUUCCUUUCAGAGGCAGGAAUUUUUUAGCUCAAAUAGCUGUAAACUGUGCAAAAUAAAUAGGUAAGAACUGAGCAAUGCAAGUCCAAAGGGAACCAAAUCCCAAGAGACAGCACAGAUGUUCUGAACAAGAAAAAAAAUAUCACUACAGGCCCCAGACAUUGGUCCUCAGCACCCUCCAAGAAGCCAAAAAGGAACAGUUUCCAAUGGGAUUUAGCAAAAUAACUCUCUGAAAGACAGUGUUUAAGGAAAACAUUUAAUCUGAGACAAGUACACAAACUACUGAAAGAGUGAUUUUGGUGACUGCUGACAUCUCUUCAAGGCUUUCAAAACCAACAAUGCCAGAUUAUUCAAAUGUUAUGCAAAGUUAUGUAAAAAAACCCAAUCUAUUAAUGGAGACUGAAGCCAAGCACAGGUCCCAUUUUAAGGAAUAUAUUUAUCAGCCAGGUUUUCCACACUGUCUGGAGCACCCAGCAGGCAAAUAACAACUGAAAGCUUCUCUUUUGAUCAGAUCAAAUGCAAGAAUUUUGCUAAGAAAACAAAGGGUGAUGCCAGAGGUGGAGGGAAGAACAGCAUUCCUUGCUGCCAAGGAUUUGGGAGGUUCUCCAGAACAAGUGACAACUCACUGGAAGUCUCACUCAUCAAUACUUGCAAGACAUCAAAGAGAUGGAGUGAAAAAAAUAAUCCCUAGAACUCCAAAGUUUUUAAGAUGAACCACUCCCUUCUGACAGAUCUCCUCAAACAUGCAGAAGGGGAAAUAAAGCACAUUUCAAAGACCCUCCCUUCCCCAUCCACAGCCAAUCUCCAGCUGAAAUAAAUGGAAAAUAUGAAUUAAUAGGUAAGACUUGUCCACACUACAAAAAGCUUUGUGGUAUCCAAUAUCCAAACUACAUCACAAGCAGCUCUGCCAGCAGUUUGGGUUAUUUUGUUCAUAUUUUGCCACACCAACACCUGUUCUUCCUUAGAACAGUUUAAUGGCAAAAAGUGACAUGAAGUUUUUUUUGUAAGAGUGAUCUUGUCUAGGACUUAAUCUAAAAAAAUUAUAUUAUGAUUUUUUAAAUUAGUUUACCAGCCCUGACAUUGAGACUCUGUACCAAAGCAAAGAAUGUGGUUUUUAAACACAACAGCCAAGCUGCAUAUGCCUCUCCAGAAGGAAUGCAGUGAAAUGGAUCCACGUGACACAGUUUAACUGGUCCCUCACUGACAGCUGAAGUCUGCAGACCCAUCUGAUUUUCACACAUAAAAGGUGCAGCCCCAGUCUUUGUCAAAGCUCAGCUCUGGCUGAAAAGCAAGCCCAGUUAGGAUGGUUCAACUCCUCCUCUAUAAUUAAUAGAGCCUGCAAGCCACAGGCUGGCCCAGGUGAAGGGAGCAGCUCCCAGAGAUGGCGCAAAAACCACCAGGAAAAGAAAUCCAAUUAGUAGUUAGAGGAGAUGACAUCAGGAAACCUCUUCUAGAUUUUCACUGCUGCUUUUCACCUGCUCAGCAUCACCCAUCCCCUACAAUGACUCUUCCUGCCUCCCAGACCAUCACUCAGAUCCUUUGGAAAAGCUGCACACAGCUCCCAGUAAAUCCUCCCUGACCACUCCAGGUGUCCAACCCUCUCCCAACUCCCAGACAGCCUUUUUGUUGUUGAUUUAUAGCAUCACUUCCCUCUCCACACAGAUUUCUCUUCAUGUCACAGUUCAUCCCAGCAGGACUCCUGCAGGAUGGAUUCAGCACCUCAAAAAUCCAGGGCUGUCAGAAUCCUCUUGCCUGAAGCUGUUUCCCUCUAACACUCCGAGCUUCUUCUCCAAACCUGCUACAAGUUGUGAAGUUGGAGCAGCAGAAACUGUUACGGCAGCGCCAGCCAGGGGCUCUGACCUGCUCCAGUUCCUGCCUCUGCUCUGGCCAAGCGAGCUCCUGCCUCUGCCUUUAAGAAUUGCACAGGAAAUUCAAAUUGCAGCCUGGCCCUGUUCUAUCAGAGCACUCAGAGGACAGGAUUGCAUCGACUGCCAGCAGCACCAUCAUCCCCCUGCCCAGGCUGCAGCUUGGAUUGUGGCUGGGUCCUGCUCCCACAACAAUCACCUCCACACAAAGGUUUAAUUCCUGGCAGCUUUAAGUGUCAUUCACACGAUGAAAUGAGAUCACACCUUGGGUUUGAGAGCGUUUUACACGGUAUUUUACAUAGCCCAACAAAGUGGAGGAGAGGGAGGGAUGUUAUCAUCAAGGACCUGCACAAGAAUCAAAAUCGGUAUUUGUAAAAUGGAACGACUGCAAAAGAAAUCUUGAAAUAGUAAAGCAGUAGCAGAGCACGCUCACUUGCCACAUUUUAAUAAGAAAGCAGACAAACUAAAUGAGGCACUGAAAGAAUAUUCAAGGAAAAUAUUUGAGUAUCACCAAAACCUGUCACAUCUAUCACUGUGAAACGUGGUACUUAAGAGCCUCAAAAUUAGCUACAAACAGGAGUGAAGUGAAAGGUUGUGUCUUCAGUUUCAGUCAUGCUUCCUAUUCUUGGACAGUUAUAAUAAAAACAUGGGGGUUACUAUACAAAUAGAAUUAUUUCAGUUGGAAGGGACCUAAAACAACCUGAUGAUGGCAGGCCCAAAUAUAUAAUUUUUUUUCCCUAGAUAAAAAUCGUGGUCCAAGUAUAUAAAAUACACAAAAUUAAACCAAAUCUUUUAACUCCCUGAAGGCGUGAGCGUGGCACUAACAUGAGCAGAGCUUAAGGAAUGUUUGGACAGUGCUGCUAUCCCAAAAGUGGCUGAGGGCUGGAGAAAGGGGCAGGAGAAAGGGGGAGGUGACAUUGUCACCCUGCACAGCUGUCCCAUCCCAUGGCCACCACACUCAGGAAACAAUGCAGGGAUGGAAGAGUUUUACAGGGAAUUCUGUGUGUCUGUCAAGAGCACUCAGACAGCGGAAAGGCACCACCAGAGACAUUUUUGCUAUUGAAAAUACAAAGGAAUACAAAAGCAGGAAGGUGGAGAAGAGGAAUAACAGCAGGUGGGGAUGACCAAGCACACGGAGGAAGGAAGGAAUGAAGGACAACAGGGAAAGAAAUGUUAUUUUAGCAGAGAGAAACACAAGCCACAGAAAAAGGAUAAAAGGUCAAACUAAAGGAAAAGUAGAAAUGGAAAGUAGAAACAAAACAAUUCCUAUUUGUCUCAUUCUCUGACACUGGUCCUAAAGACACCUCAUGAAAUACCAUCAGCACACAGGAUCAGCAGCACUGAUAAAAACUUUCAUCAGACUUUUUUUUUUUUUUUUUCCAAUAAAAUUGGAAAUAAAGCAGUGGAGGCAGAAUCCUUCAGCUAUCAGGAAGCACAAAGCCAAGUGCCUGGAGUGCCACACUCACACAGAUUAUCAGAAUUGUUUAUAAUGGUGCAGGAAUGGCCUUUUUCAUGCCCCUCCUUUUUUUAAUUCAUGACUUGGGCUAUACUGAGACAGUCCUCGUUUAGCUAAAAAACCCCAAACAUGCUUUAAUUCCCAAAUUCUACAAACUGCUCUGCUGAGCCUGGAUGGGAGGCACAAAUUAAUCAGGACUGAGAGACUGCUGAACUUCAGCUGCCACAGAGCACUUUUCUGAUUUAUGCAAAGCAGUCUGAUAGUAUCCCACAGAGUUGUGAUCAAAAUCUGUCACCUGAUUUACAUUUCCCAGCACAACACAGCAUUUGUUCUCCAUUUUUUGGGCUCUAUUAUGUGGGCAGGUAAAAUAAUUCUAAUGAUACAGGCUUCCUACUUACUUUAAAGAGUCUGCAGAGGAGGGAAAAAGCUGUGUUUUAAGGGGUUUAUUUGUGUUGCCUAUCAAAAGUGAGAGUAAAAAAAAGUUUAAUAGAUUUGUUCCACCUUUAGAUGGGCUGCAUCACUUCAUAGUUAAAAAAAGCAGGCAGAAAUACAUUAGCAUUUCAGACUAAAUAUAGCUGUCAAAAAUGUAAAUUUCUUUUUAAGAAAAACCCCAUGUGCUAAAAAGAACUCAGCUUUUAUGCAUAAUAAAAAGGCAGAUAUGUCUGCUUCGUCAAUAGGCUGCUAAUUUAAUUACAAAACCCAUGGAGAGUCCUAAAAAAAUUCUAAGUACAUCAUGAAUACUUGGUUUGCUCAGCCUGAUUUCAAGCAAAUAUGUUUUAACAAAGAAAUAAACUGGUAAUUGUUGCUGUGUUCUCAUUAUAUAUAUCCUAGUUAUUUUGUUUUUCGUUGAAAAUUUAAUGGGAAACUAAUUUCUAUUAAAUUCCUUCAAUUAUUCCAGUCCUUACUGACCUUCUUACCAGAAGUACCAAGAUAUCUCAGUAUUAAUAAGCCAACAUGUACUAAUUGUUAUUAACCUGCCCCUUUUUAAUGGGUUUUUAGCCAUAUUUUUUCCUCCCAGUAUAAACAUGUAACACAGAACCUCUCAAAUUUAAGAAAGUUUGAGACCUGACCUUGGAAAAUGUGCUGAUUUUAGGAAAAAAUAAUAUAAAAAUCUAAGCUUAGAAAUGGUUCCACAUCACAUCUAAUCAGUAUUACUCAUAAAACUGAGAUAUUCACUAUCACCAGACUGUAAAAGAACACACAGUUCACAAACAUUCCCAGUAUAAACCAGAAAAGCUUUGCCAGAAUGACGAGUUCCAGGUUUUCCAGCAUUUCCCAAGCUCCCAAAAGUAUGAACAGCCAGGAGGUUUAAAAAUCCAGCAAUCUCAACCACCACACUAUGGAUUAGGGACAGGGCAAACAACAUCCAGGCUGGAAAAGUGACCUAUUUAUCCAGAGCACAUCCCUGCAGCCUGCCCUAGUCAAUCCAGACUGCUCUCUCCCCUCAACACUUCUCCUGUGCCAGGAAGGAAUGGGAUGUUGUGCAGCCAACCAGUGAUUUGGCUUUAUUUUUAAUUAUUAUUAAAGCUGUGACAUGGUUACGAGUGUCAGCUGUGAGAAGGGAGCUGGGGGUGGCACUUGGGCUGAGUUAAAGAAGUGACAAAGCUGCACUUUUGAGCAGCAGGAAGUCAGCCAGGGAUUCCCCAAGUUCUCCCUCCUCCCUUUCCCAGUAUCUUGAAAUCAAAUCUGCCAAGCCAGCAUUAAACCAUCCAUCGCCAACUUCCUGAAAUAUUAGGGAUUACCCCUCACUCAAGAGCCUCCUCGCUGCAAUGCACAAGAAUGGAUCUUCUGCUUUCCAGGAAAAUCUAGAUUUUGUGGGCAGAAUGAUUUUAGCUUCCUCAGUUUGCUUUUUCAAAGCACUGUCAUAAGAACUGGGCUUAAGUCUCCUACACUUUGCUUUUAACAAGUUACCUCCACAAGAACUUUUGACAUUCACCACUGGCUUCCACUUUCCUUUUUCCCCCACAUACUCCAACUAUUUAUCAUCUUGUAUUCAGAGCUUGGAAUUUAUUUACAUGAUCUUGUAUUUAGAUCGAGUCAGACACAAAUGUAGCAUAUUGAAAAGAAAUUCUUACAGUUUUUAGAAUCAGUUCUUGAAAACCCCCACUAUGUAAAGUUCUAACACAUUACACAUCAUAUUAUUUAGAGCUAGCCCACAAAAAAAGCCCAAAAUAAAAGCUACUCUGAAAGACACUAUAUUACAAUCUCAGUUUCCAUCAGUUAAGAGUUGUUAGACUGGCAGUGAGCUCUGGUUUCAUUUUUAUUUUAACCCCACAUUCCUCUUUAGCCAUUUUAGAUGAAAAGCCACCCAGGCUAAUUUAGUUAACCAUUCUCAGACAAAAAUGUGGAUAACACAAUUUGUUUCUCCAGGAAGAAAAGAUAUUUUAAAACAAACAAAUUAUAAACCUCACAGGGUGGUAGAUGAUUUGUGCUGAGAUACAAAGUGAUUACAGCUUUGUGAGAACAACUAAAUGACUUGCAACACCUCCAGAGCUCUGAAACGAUGGGGAAUAUUAACUCCUAACAACAAAAACAGAACAAAAAGAGUCACUCCCAUAUUUCAGGUAAUUUAGCACCAUAACAGCAUUAAGCAAUGCUGUUCAAACAGAAAUAAAUGCUGAUGUUUAGAAAAUGCAUGACAAUCUGCAGACGUCUGAAGAGCUCAGACACUCAGCUUCCCUCACGAAAGCUGUGACAUUUCAAAUUAAAUAUCUGCGGCCACCAAAGUCCGGCGGGGGGGACACUCGGGGGAGGGUUUGUGACACACAAAAACAAACGAGCAGCGUCCAGGGUCAGCGCCGGGGAGUUCAGCCAAGUUCAGAAAUCAGACACCGCGCUGCCCCGGCUCCUGUGACAGCGCACAGCUCAGUCUGAGCGCACAUUGCCACCUGUCCUCGUCCGCAGAGAAGUCCUGGCUCUGGAACACCGUGAAAAUACCUCCCCGAUGGACUCACCCGAGCGCCGGAUCGCCUGUGGAGGGUUGGGGAGAAGGAAGGCACCGAGAGCUCGACAGGGACACGCAGGUUUGUAGUCAAGCUUGGACUCCAGCUUCUUGGAAUCAGCCACUUUCCUGACAGCUUUCAUGAAAUCUUCCUGAACUACGAAGUCAUGAUCAGCACGGAUUGCAAACAUCCCUGGGAGGGAGGAUUUAACACAAGACAGAACAUGAAGUUUCACUCAAAAUCAAAUGAAAACACAUCCAGGUUACACUGUGGGCUUUCCCAUGUCUUGGAUGCUGGCAAGAGGGAAUUUUCCUUUCUGAACCAGGGGAUUACUAAAAAGAAAACUUGUUUGAACUCUGA